AGAUUGAACGCUGGCGGCAUGCCUUACACAUGCAAGUCGAACGGUAACGCGGGGCAACCUGGCGACGAGUGGCGAACGGGUGAGUAAUGCAUCGGAACGUGCCCAGUAGUGGGGGAUAGCCCGGCGAAAGCCGGAUUAAUACCGCAUACGACCUACGGGUGAAAGCGGGGGACUCGCAAGAGCCUCGCGCUAUUGGAGCCGGCCGAUGUCAGAUUAGCUAGUUGGUAGGGUAAAAGCCUACAAGGCGACGAUCUAGUAGCUGGUCUGAGA
rnacentral:rRNA from 1 species